AAACUGAUUUCAACGGAAAAGAAGGAAGAGGGCCAUUAACUCCAUUCAACCGACUCUUCCCAGCAUUAAAAGAAGUCUCCUCCUGCCUUCAAGUCUUCCAGAUUUUCAAGAGGAGACCCAAAGUUCAAGAAGCCCUUCUCUUCUCCAACUCAAACGUGUUUGAGGGCUCUUAACUUUACUCUUAUUAAUAUCGCUGUAUAUCUGCUUUUUAGAAGCUCUAUUUUUCUAUUUGUCCUUGUUCUUUCCAUCUUGUCCUUACUUGAUUCAAUCAGGGGAUUGAAUCAAGGGUAUAUAGGUUUGUUGGUGAGCCUAGGUUGAAACCAACGGUGUAAGGGUUCGAUUGUGAUCCCGGAAAAACAAUCGGGGUGGUUCUAGU
rnacentral:lncRNA from 1 species